GACGAACCGUGCGAACGUUGUUCGGAUUCACUGGGCUUAAAGGGCGCGUAGGCGGACCUGCCAGUCAGGGGUGAAAGCCCCCGGCCCAACCGGGGAAGUGCCUUUGAUACUGUAGGUCUCGAGCGGGAUAGGGGCAGCGGGAACUUCCGGUGGAGCGGUGAAAUGCGUAGAUAUCGGAAGGAACGCCGGUGGCGAAAGCGCGCUGCUGGAUCCCUCCUGACGCUGAGGCGCGAAAGCCAGGGGGAGCCGGAACGGGG
rnacentral:rRNA from 1 species